GGAAAUUUUUCUUAACAACCGUAAUAUAUCGGUGAUUUCGUCCCAUUUUAACGAGUACAGUAAUUUCAUUCACCGAAAAUAUCUGUAAAACGGAUCCAAUACCGAGUUCGGUAAAUUAUUACUGAACCAUCAGUAAAUUUGAACUGUCAACUCCGGCCUCCGACAGAAAAAGUCAAAUACGUAGUGCAACGCAAUUCUCCUGAAAGGCGCAACGAAGGCGAUGGGUUACGAAAUUAGCGUAAUAAUUCAUCAUAAUCCAUCAGAAACUGUUGAAGCUAACGUUCACUCCUCUUUCAUCGAGCACCAUGGAGGUCGAAAUCGGAAUGAGAGGACUGGCAAAAAGUGCGGCACUGGUGGAAAUAUUAUACUUAA